GAUGAACGCUGGCGGCGUGCCUAAUACAUGCAAGUCGAGCGAACGGACGAGAAGCUUGCUUUUCUGAUGUUAGCGGCGGAAGGGUGAGUAACACGUGGAUAACCUACCUAUAAGACUGGGAUAACUUCGGGAAACCGGAGCUAAUACCGGAUAAUAUUUUGAACCGCAUGGUUCAAAAGUGAAAGACGGUCUUGCUGCCACUUAUAGAUGGAUCCGCGCUGCAUUAGCUAGUUGGUAAGGUAACGGCUUACCAAGGCAACGAUGCAUAGCCGACCUGAGAGGGUGAUCGGCCACACUGGAACUGAGACACGGUCCAGACUCCUACGGGAGGCAGCAGUAGGGAAUCUUCCGCAAUGGGCGAAAGCCUGACGGAGCAACGCCGCGUGAGUGAUGAAGGUCUUCGGAUCGUAAAACUCUGUUAUUAGGGAAGAACAUAUGUGUAAGUAACUGUGCACAUCUUGACGGUACCUAAUCAGAAAGCCACGGCUAACUACGUG
rnacentral:rRNA from 1 species